rnacentral:rRNA from 1 species
GACGAACGCUGGCGGCGUGCUUAACACAUGCAAGUCGAACGGAAAGGCCCUGCUUUUGUGGGGUGCUCGAGUGGCGAACGGGUGAGUAACACGUGAGUAACCUGCCCUUGACUUUGGGAUAACUUCAGGAAACUGGGGCUAAUACCGGAUAGGAGCUGCUGCUGCAUGGUGGGGGGGGGAAAGUUUCGGCGGUUGGGGAUGGACUCGCGGCUUAUCAGCUUGUUGGUUGGGUAGGGGCUGACCAAGGCUGUGACGGGUAGCCGGCCUGUGAGGGUGACCGGCCACAUUGGGCCUGCGAUACGGCCCAGUCUCCUACGGGAGGCAGCAGUGGGGAAUAUUGCACAAUGGGCGGACGCCUGAUGCAGCAACGCCGCGUGCGGGAUGACGGCCUUCGGGUUGUAAACCGCUUUCGCCUGUGACGAAGCGUGAGUGACGGUAAUGGGUAAAGAAGCACCGGCUAACUACGUG